CAGGCGAAGGCUUGGACGCGAGAGGUGACUUAACAGUUUCGGGGGAGAGCCCCGGGCUUCGGGCGCGACCCAAGGAGGGAGGAGAGACGGGGAGCGCUCGGGACCCGAACUUCCUUCGGGCCCGGGCCCCGCAGACGCCUUGGGGGUGAUCUGUUCGCGGGCCUCCACCGUCAUUGCACUUGCCCCCACCCCCACCCCCGAGCCCGUUAAUUCGGCUCCUUGCACUCUGGACGUUCGGUGGAAGUAAAAAUAAGUUUUUAAGGCGUGAAUUGGACAGCUGGGUACUUGUAGAGGGAGUUGGGGCAAGUCGGGGUGUACUGCGACCUUUUCCCUCCCUACGCCGCCUCUCCAGCAUUUUUGUCUCCCUUCUUAUGCCUGGGCCCUUCCCAAGGGGAGAGAGGGUGCACUGCGGCCCGAGGGCUUGAGGUUGGACUUUCAGAAGAACUUCCCAAAAUCGUUUCGUGAGAAUGGGUGGGGGUGAGCUACAGUGGGAAGGUGUCCUUUUCUGCAGGGCCUUGGAAACCCAAACUCUGAACUGGGUUGUGAGGUAAAGUCCUGCCUGGAGGCGGGGAACAGAGAGAUGAGGUGACCUCACAGAGCUGCCACUGUGAGGCCUUGAGGGCCGGGCCGGUGAAGCCCAGUUCCCUCAGCUGGUUCUUGGAAAGAGGAGAUUUGAACAGCAGGAGGCUGGGGGCCAGAGUGCAGGAUCCCAGGAGGGGCAGGGCUCUUGCUCCCGAUCAGCAGAAGAUCAAAGGGAGGGGAACCAUGGCCAGGCACCCCUGGAGGGCCCCAGAGUUGGUGCCCCCUGCACUGGGGAUUUGAGCGAACAUUAACAGCAAGUUUUAGGGCUUGAGCGGCAGAGGGAGUGGAGAGGGUCCCACUGAGACUCCAGACAGAAAACAGAAAACCGAGGCAGGAAAAGCCAACGUGACCGUGUGCCCCUGGAGGGCAGGGUGCGUGCGUGAGUGGCACUUGGGUCACGUGCAGGAGCGUGUGCCUGCAGAUGGUCUGGGGUAUGUCCACCCACAGUGGGGACCACCAGACUGCCCAGUGCCCAGCACGCAGCCCUGCCCAGAGCAGAAGCUCAGUAAGAGGGCGUCCAGUUAACUGCAUAUUCGAAGUUUCAUGGUGUGAGAGGAAGGAGCAAUCCUCUGGAGGCAGACAUGCUUCCUGAGUAGUCGGGUGCCGCCGAGCCUUGGUUUCCUCGUCUCUGAAAUGGAAAAACAAGCCCCCAGCACAGUGCCUGACUCAAGAUAAGUGUUCGGUCGAUGUUAGCGCUCUGGCCCUGUUGUUCUCUCCUCGCAGUGGACUUUGGCUAGAUUGCGCUCUUCGUUAAUUAAUUUUCAUUCAUUCCUUCUUUCAGCUAACUGGUUCCUUUUGAGCUCUUAGGAUGUGCCAGGCCCUGGAGGAGAUCCUGACCCACUGUGAGUCACUCAAAGCCAGUUCUAGAUCUGGCCUCGUAGAAAAAAAGAUUAUCCCAAACAACCAGCAGAUAAUUCCAAAAAUAAUUCCUGUCGAGUGCUGGGAUGCAAGCAAAUUCUGUCUCCGUGGCUGGCACGGGCAGGCUUCUAGCCCCGGGCCUGAGGAACAAAGGCCUCCGUGGAGCCGUUGAGUUGUCUGGGUGUGCAGUGCGUGGCUCAGUCCAGGUGUAUCUGUGUGCGUCUCCCUGUGUGCACACAGGCCUGGCUACGAAACCCGGCAGGACAGCAGAGUGGCCCAGGGUUUGUGUGGCGGCUCAGGACAGCAGUGGGGUAGGGUGAUCCAGACCGUGCUCGUCUGUGUGUGGAGCUCUGUCCCUUCUCUUCUCUUUUCUCUCUCUCUCUCUCUUUUUUUUUUAUAAGUGUAUUUAUUUAUUUUGAGAGAGAGAGAUAGAGAGUGCCAGUGGGGCUGGGGUGGCAGAGAGAGAGGGAGAGAGAGAGAAUCCCAAGCAGGCUCUGCACUGUCAGUGUGGAGCCUGCUGUGGAGCUCGAACUCAUGAACCAUGAGAUCGUGACCUGAGCUGAAAUCAAGAGUCGGACGCUUAACUAACCGAGCCACCCAGGCACCUCCCUUCUCUUUUCUGGGCAAACGUGGGCACCCUUUGUCACCACCUGUCCAAGUACCAAGGGAUGGGGCACAUACCUAGCUCUUGUGCACCCCCCCACCCCAUGCCCUAGUCCCGGAGCCCCAGGGAGGCUGCCCCACCAAGUUGGCUGGCCCUUAUGGAGGUCCUCUUAGCCAUCUCCCCCGUCCUCUCCAUCUGUCCUCAUCAGAGGAGCCUCCUCUCCUAUGUGUUACGGGGUCUCCAUUUUCUUUUCCUAACACCCCUCCUCCUGGGAACCUAUCUAAACACCGUGUUUCCUGCUGACAGUGCAGCCAGUUUUCCCUCUGUUGCUGGAACAAUGAAUUAAUUUCCCUCAGUGAGAAUGUAUUAAGUAAAAUUCUGUAGGACACACAAAAGAAAUACCAGAUUUGAUCUCUGCUCUCAGCAAGACACAGAAACUAGCCUAUGUGACUCAGAGAACAUGGUCAAACAGGAUUGCAUGUGAGGGCAGAACGGUCUUUGGGCCUUGGAGGGCUAUGGGGAUGGAGAAGAGAGGAGGCCACUACAGGUCCGUCCGCUGUCGUGGACCCGUCUCCACGGGCUCUGACGCCCAGCUUGAGGUUUGGCCUGGACAGAGGCCCCUGCCCUUCCCCAGCGCCCACUCCAGCACCCCCCACCAGGUCCCCUGCACUCUCUGAUUUCCCUAGGGAGAGCAACUCAGAGGGGCUGGGGUGCAGCCAGGGUCCCCCAGGACAGCUGGCUGACAGGGCCCCUCUGGGACUCAGGGCUGGACCCCGGCGUCCGGGAGGCGGGUGACACCGGAGCUGUGACAGUUGGUCCCCAGAUU